rnacentral:rRNA from 1 species
UACAGAGGGUGCGAGCGUUGUCCGGAAUCACUGGGCGUAAAGGGCGCGUAGGUGGCCUGGUAAGUAGGGGGUGAAAUCUCGCGGCUCAACUGCGAGGCUGCCUCCUAAACUGUCAGGCUCGAGCAGAGUAGAGGCAGGUGGAAUUCCCGGUGUAGCGGUGGAAUGCGUAGAGAUCGGGAAGAACAUCGGUGGCGAAGGCGGCCUGCUGGGCUCUUGCUGACGCUGAGGCGCGCCAGCGUGGGGAGCAAACAGG